rnacentral:rRNA from 1 species
CUUUCGAUAGGCGUCGACCGGCGCACGGGUGAGUAACGCGUAUCCAACCUGCCCAUAACUAAGGGAUAAUCCGUAGAAAUGCGGUCUAAUACCUUAUGUGUUCCGACGAGGACAUCUGAAUUGGAAUAAAGAUUUAUCGGUUAUGGAUGGGGAUGCGUCUGAUUAGAUUGUUGGCGGGGCAACGGCCCACCAAGUCUACGAUCAGUAGGGGUUCUGAGAGGAAGGUCCCCCACAUUGGAACUGAGACACGGUCCAAACUCCUACGGGAGGCAGCAGUGAGGAAUAUUGGUCAAUGGGCGGGAGCCUGAACCAGCCAAGUAGCGUGCAGGAUGACGGCCCUAUGGGUUGUAAACUGCUUUUGUAUGGGGAUAAAGUGCUCCACGUGUGGAGUUUUGCAGGUACCAUACGGAUAAGGACCGGCUAAUUCCGUGCCAGCAGCCGCGGUAAUACGGAAGGUCCGGGCGUUAUCCGGAUUUAUUGGGUUUAAAGGGAGCGUAGGCCGUGGAUUAAGUGUGUUGUGAAAUGUAGGCGCUCAACGUCUGACUUGCAGCGCAUACUGGUCCACUUGAGUGCGCACAACGCGGGCGGAAUUUGUCGUGUAGCGGUGAAAUGCUUAGAUAUGACGAAGAACCCCGAUUGCGAAGGCAGCUCGCGGGAGCGCAACUGACGCUGAAGCUCGAAAGUGCGGGUAUCGAACAGGAUUAGAUACCCUGGUAGUCCGCACGGUAAACGAUGGAUGCCCGCUUUUCGGUCAUUAGACCGUGAGGCCAAGUGAAAACAUUAAGCAUCCCACCUGGGGA